UGGGGAAUAUUGCGCAAUGGGCGAAAGCCUGACGCAGCGACGCCGCGUGAGGGAUGAAGGUUUUCGGAUCGUAAACCUCUGUCAGAAGGGAAGAAACCGCACUGUGCUAAUCAGCAGUGCCUUGACGGUACCUUCAAAGGAAGCACCGGCUAACUCCGUGCCAGCAGCCGCGGUAAUACGGAGGGUGCAAGCGUUAAUCGGAAUUACUGGGCGUAAAGCGCACGUAGGCUGCUUUGUAAGUCAGGGGUGAAAUCCCACGGCUCAACCGUGGAACAGCCUUUGAUACUGCUUAGCUUGAAUCCGGGAGAGGGUGGCGGAAUUCCAGGUGUAGGAGUGAAAUCCGUAGAUAUCUGGAGGAACAUCAGUGGCGAAGGCGGCCACCUGGACCGGUAUUGACGCUGAGGUGCGAAAGCGUGGGGAGCAAACAGG
rnacentral:rRNA from 1 species